GACGAACGCUGGCGGCGUGCUUAACACAUGCAAGUCGAACGGUAAGGCCCUUCGGGGUACCCGAGUGGCGAACGGGUGAGUAACACGUGGGUAAUCUGCCCAGCACAUCGGGAUAAGCCUGGGAAACUGGGUCUAAUACCGAAUAGGACCACAGGACACAUGUCCUGUGGUGGAAAGCUUUUGCGGUGUGGGAUGGGCCCGCGGCCUAUCAGCUUGUUGGUGGGGUGAUGGCCUACCAAGGCGACGACGGGUAGCCGGCCUGAGAGGGUGUCCGGCCACACUGGGACUGAGAUACGGCCCAGACUCCGACGGGAGGCAGCAGUGGGGAAUAUUGCACAAUGGGCGAAAGCCUGAUGCAGCGACGCCGCGUGGGGGAUGACGGCCUUCGGGUUGUAAACCUCUUUCACCAUCGACGAAGGUCCGGGUUUUCUCGGGCUGACGGUAGGUGGAGAAGAAGCACCGGCCAACUACGUG
rnacentral:rRNA from 1 species